CCAAUUGCCGUAAUGGCCACCUCGUCUGAUCCCCCGUAAAUCUCGCUUGACUCCGCCUGCCACUCAUCCCACCCAACCCCUCUUCCAAGAACUCCAAGAAGGACCGUCUGGGGUUUCGGAGGUAGAGAUCGAGAUCAAGUCGAGAUCGAGAGAGAGCAAUGGAGAAGGAGGGAGGGCUGGGAGUUCGAAGGAAGCCGACGAAAAGGAGAAGCAGAGGAUUUGCGAAGGCGGUGAAGGAUUACCUAGUCUCCGAUUCCUACAUGUACGCCCCUCUGAUCGAUUCGCCGCCGCUGGAUUCUCCCCCUUCACCUGACGUCCGCUCUCCUCCUACUGCAGAAAAGGUGAGCUGAUAAUGGGGAGAUUUCUUGUUGGCUGAAGGUCAGAGGGCUUACGGUGCAUUGUGCGAAACUAGUGUGAGAUAUAAAAGGAUAAUGUUCAAUUUGUUUGAUCGCUGACCUCCUCUAAAAAAGCGAGUGGUGCCUAUGGCGCAGUUGCAGAGGCUGCUGGUGAAGUGAUUUUUUGCUUUGCAUGCUGGGAGACCUGAGCUUUGGUGUGUUUACUUUACCUACGUUAUCAGACUACAUCUUUUCUCCUGUUGUUGUGUCUUCUAAUUUGUCUACCUGUUUCUUGUUGCCCUUGUUGCUGUUAUUUUUCUUUUUGCUAUUGAUUUUGAUUGUCGUAAUGUUACAGCUGAAUUGCCUCUGAAACCAUCUUUACGGAUGGGUUGGUCUAUGGACCAUGCUCUGUGUUUUACAUUUACUAGCUAAUGAAAUUGGGAAGGUGAUUCUUCUGUAGCCAUGUUGUUUGUCUGUCCUUGUUUGGUUCUAUGCAUUUAUGAUUGUUAAAAUCAUGACUAAGACAUGCCUUAUAUUCUAAGACAUUAUUAGGACAUGCCUCAGUAUACUGAGGAAAGUAGGUGUGUAAACUGUCGCUUCCUUUUAUUAUUAUUAUUAUUAUUUUUUGCCGGUCAAUUAUUAUUUGUUGCAUUUUGCAACUAUGAGCAACAUAAAAAUGAGACCAUGCUAACAUGCCUUGUCGCAUCUAUUUUGGGUUGGCCAUGAAUUCUACCUGUGCCCGUCAAUCCUCUUAAAGAGUAGAAUCACUAUAUAUUAUAUGAAACCUUUUCAAUUCCUUGAACAACUCUUAGGUGUACUUCUUUCUCAUUUCCAGGGGUUAGCUGGAAACCGAAGCUUUUAGCACUUUUACUUUGGAUUUUAUUAGUUGUUUUGUCUUGAUUGGCCUUUGGAAGAUGAGUUUUUAAUUUGCGGUCCUGGAGAUCGGGGAGAUAAGAGUUUGCCCACCCUAUUUUGAGUGGGUGCUCGCAAGGUCAAAGUCAAAAAUUCUAUUCUUUCAUUAAUACAGGGGUAGUGGGGAAUAAAUAGUUUAAGUGAUUCACACCUCGAAGUAGGGCCACUUCAAUUGGAUGUGCCUAAAUUUCUGAUCUAUCAGGCCACCUUUCUAUGCUCUUUACUAAUCCUAUCUUUCCAACUAGUGGAACACACUUUCAUGAACAUCCUCAUCUCUCUGGCGGUCAUCUUUUAUGCACAGGCUUUCUUGAUUCUUAAUUGAGUUACCCUGUUCUGUAGAAGCUGAUCGGCUUUUUGAAUGGGAUAAUUGCUCGAUGUGUUUUUAUAGCAUCUUUCAUUAUAUGCUAGUCUAAGUUGCAUGAGAGGAAUAGAAAGCCAAUGAUUGCAUAUUUUCUUUGUGUUCAAGCCUGAGCUUAGCUUGGAAAACAUGUCUUGAUUUUAGUCAAGCACCUUCAGCAGGUGAAAUGUGGGCCAACAGAACCCAUGUCCACCGCUCAAGGCUGCGGUCCUAAUGGUACCUUUUGAUGGUCCAUGUGGUCCUAUAAAGAAUUACUU